rnacentral:misc_RNA from 1 species
AACGCACCUUGCGCUCGCUGGUAUUCCGGCGAGCAUGCCUGUUUGAGUGUCAUGAACUCUUCAACCCUCCAAUUCCUUGUUGAAUUGUAAGGUGUUUGGAUUCUGAGCGCUGCUGGCCUAACUUGAGAUUUUCGAAUCUCUAAUCUGGCGAAGCUCGUUCGUAAUACAUUAGCAUCUCAAUUUCGAAAUUCGGAUUGACUCGGCGUAAUAGACUUAUUCGCUGAGGACACUAUUUAGAUUUACUUCUAUUCUAGUGGCCGAAAUUUGAGGUAGAAGCUUCUAACUCUCUAUUUGAAGUCAAAUUCUAAGAUUAGACCUCAGAUCAGGCAGGAUUACCCGCUGAACUUAA